GAUGAAAACAGACAGUCAACCAAACAGAAAGAAAGGCCUGCAAACCCACCGAAUGCUGUUAUUAUUAGUAAAUAACAAGAAAAAGGAAGACUUUGAUGCUUGCUUGACAAAGCCAUCCUUGAGUGUUUUCAAUGGACAUAUAAGCUUGAAUUUGAAUGUUACAGAAACCAAAUUAGGCAAGUCGCCCAUGACAUGCACUGGUUCGUGAUUAAGAAUCGAUGUGAAAUGCCUUUGCACAUAUCACUAGCCUUGAAUAGAUGUGACAAAAGCCACAAUGACCCUAGCCACACAUGGCUGAUGUGCAUGUCUAAUAUAAGAGCCCAAGCAGAAGUGAAAGAACAGGCAGGAAACUCAUUGCUGGUUAAUAAGUGUGUGUGCACCUGCAGGCUCAGCUUUAAAAUUACCACUUCUCAAAAAUAGGGCACACUUCUCCAGUGCUCAAAUUUACAGCGUGAACACAUUCACACAGAGUCAUUCAAAACUCUUCAGAUAACAGAACCUCAGAAUAAAUCAGUAACAGACCGAAAAGAACCAUGACAAGUCCCAGAACCGUUUGUUUCAUAUACUUUACAUUGCUCUUUGGAACGGCACAUGCUAACACCACAGAAUCCAAAAACAUAACCUCCUCAGUCACUGAAGGAUCGACCGAUCCUGGAACACAAAAUAACUCACAGACGAAAGAAGACAAAAGUGACAUCACAACAACAUCCAUCAUAUCUUCAGCGGACAUAACAAUAACAUCUGCAAAAACAACACCUGUAAAAACAACAACUCAACAAUCAGCCUGCACACCGGCCACUCUUAAACACGAUCAAGCACAGUGUAUCCUCUUCCUGCCAAAAGAAAAAAUACUGGUACUGGUUGUGGUUGCUCUCACAGUGGGCUGCUUGGCAUUGCUGCUGACCACACUGAUAUGCACCUGCCAGGUUUGUCACCUGAGACAAAUCAUUUCUAGUCUCCAGCUUCGUCACAACAGCAUUGACCUACGUGCCAUAAGAGAAAAGAGUGAAUCGCCAUGCAGGGAUGAAGCCCAAGUGGACGGGCAGCCAACGGAGACCUGUGUCUUGCUAUCAGAGGUCACCACAGCACAAGAGGAGAGUAGAGAGGAUGAGGACAGAGUUCUGGAGAUCAAGAGUGAGGAGAACAAAGACACGGAGCAGCCCAGUACUGUGAAGGACCCGAACGGAGACGUCACCCAGGAGAACAGUCAUGUGCCUGAUGCAAAAGCACCAGAGAGCUCCGACACAGGGGUGUGAACGUGAUCAGACACUUAACGAACUGGUGUCACACAACUCCCUCUGCUGGCAUUUAAAGUCUGCACCUGCUUAAGCUUUAACUGUUAUCUUCUGCAUAAGACUCAAGAAGAAGGUCUGAAAUCUGAAAGUACGGUACUAAGACUGUUGUUAGAAAAUGAUAUUAAAAAGCUAAAUGUAUGCACUGAAAAUACUGCAAAUAAGCCUUUGUCACUCUCAACAUUGUAUGACCAUGUUUCGACAGCCAAAAGCAUUUAUGUUGUCUGUAUUUUAAAUAAAAUCUGUAUUUUCUAUAGAUCUUUUUCUUAAUAAGUCUAAACAUCCUUAAAUGAGAAAUAUAUACUUGAGAAACAAAAAUAUGUCAAAUAAAACUAGUUUUUAGAGAAUUUAUCUAUUUAUUGAGUAUAUUUUAUUAUUCUUAAUUGAAGUUAUAUUCUCUGAAAUCAACCAGAUUCAUUUCAGUUUUGCUUCUCGAGUAAACUCAUCUUGUUUUAAGGAUGCUGAGAUAUUUUUUGUGGAUAAGACUAAAAACUGAUUUAGAAAUUGACUGUGUGGUUUUGUGUUUUUGAAUAAAACAAUUUUUUUUCUUUAUUUCAAACCUCGAAA